rnacentral:rRNA from 1 species
GGGAAUAUUGGGCAAUGGGCGCAAGCCUGACCCAGCAACGCCGCGUGAAGGAAGAAGGCUUUCGGGUUGUAAACUUCUUUUCUCAGGGACGAAGAAAGUGACGGUACCUGAGGAAUAAGCCACGGCUAACUACGUGCCAGCCGCCGCGGUAAUACGUAGGUGGCAAGCGUUGUCCGGAUUUACUGGGUGUAAAGGGCGUGCAGCCGGAGAGACAAGUCAGAUGUGAAAUCCACGGGCUCAACCCGUGAACUGCAUUUGAAACUGUUUCCCUUGAGUGUCGGAGAGGUAAUCGGAAUUCCUUGUGUAGCGGUGAAAUGCGUAGAUAUAAGGAAGAACACCAGUGGCGAAGGCGGAUUACUGGACGAUAACUGACGGUGAGGCGCGAAAGCGUGGGGAGCAAACAGG